GAUGAAGGACGCAGCGAAAUGCGAUAAGUAGUGUGAAUUGCAGAAUUCAGUGAAUCAUCGAAUCUUUGAACGCACAUUGCGCCCUUUGGUAUUCCUUAGGGCAUGCCUGUUCUAGCGUCAUUUAAACCUUCAAGCUCAGCUUGGUGUUGGGUGACUGUCCGCUUCACCGCGGACUCGCCUCAAAAUUAUUGGCGGCCGGUACAUUGGCUUCGAGCGCAGCAGAAACGCGAACUCGGGCCCGUCGUAUUGGCUCCCAGAAGCUAUCUUCACAAUUUUGACCUCGGAUCAGGUAGGGAUACCCGCUGAACUUAAGCAUAUCAAUAGCGGAGGA
rnacentral:misc_RNA from 1 species